UACGAAGGGGGCUAGCGUUGUUCGGAAUUACUAGGCGUAAAGCGCACGUAGGCGGAUAUUUAAGUCAGGGGUGAAAUCCCGGGGCUCAACCCCGGAACUGCCUUUGAUACUGGGUAUCUCGAGUCCGAGAGAGGUGAGUGGAAUUCCGAGUGUAGAGGUGAAAUUCGUAGAUAUUCGGAGGAACACCAGUGGCGAAGGCGGCUCACUGGCUCGGUACUGACGCUGAGGUGCGAAAGCGUGGGGAGCAAACAGG
rnacentral:rRNA from 1 species